GUGCUUGCUUCGGCAGCACGGAUACUAAAAUUGGAAUGAUACAGAGCAGAUCAGCAUGGCCCGUGCACAAGGAUGGCGUGCAAAUCCACGAAGCGUUCCAUGUGCUC